rnacentral:tRNA from 2 species
GGGUCGCUAGCUCAAUUUGGCAGAGCAACGGACUCUUAAUCCGUAGGUUCUGGGUUCAAGUCCCAGGCGACCCACCA